rnacentral:lncRNA from 1 species
GAAGAAAGGACUGAAGGAGGGGCUCGGGAGGAUUAGAAAGGUGGGAGAAAAAGGAGAGAGAAAGGGGAGUGGAAAGUGGAAAUAAGGCAAGAUGGAGGAGCAAGAGAAGCAGGAAGGAGUUCAGUGCAGUUUGACAUGUGAAGACGUGAGAAGCCAAAGGCGGUGUUGGUACCAUUCAGCUGAGCAGCGUGUGCAGGCAGAGGAUCUGUCUGGGGAAGCCAAACCACACCUACAGAGCAUUUCUGUGGUCAUGCUACAUGCUACAUUUAUUCACGGUUUCAAUGCCGGCUGUCCCGCAAGCCGCAGCACACACAGAAAGCAGCGUUAGGUCUUUUAUGCCCAGCACCACGGUGAAGCCCUUUGCUCCCUGGGCCCUCCUCGCCCACCUUGGAGCUCGGGCUGAUGUUUGCAGCUUUGUGAGAAACACGCUCCAGGUCUACAAUUUCGAAUCAGGCCGAGAUCUCUGUGAAGAGCAGUUUGUCCAUGAUUGCAACAACGGGCGCACGCCCCCUACUGCCAAGGGAGAAAUUGCGCUCCUGAUCAGUGCAAUCCACU